AUUGAACGCUGGCGGCAGGCCUAACACAUGCAAGUCGAACGAGUGGCGGACGUGUGAGUCAUGUCUGGGAAACUGCCUGAUGGAGGGGGAUAACUACUGGAAACGGUAGCUAAUACCGCCUACCAUCGGAUUUGCCCAGAUGGGCUUAGCUUGUUGGUGGGGUAACGGCUCACCAAGGCGAGGAUCCCUAGCUGGUCUGAGAGGGUGACCAGCAACACUGGAAAUGAGACACGGUCCAGACUCCGACGGGAGGCAGCAGUGGGGAAUAUUGCACAAUGGGCGCAAGCCUGAUGCAGCCAUGCCGCGUGGAUGAAGAAGGCCUUCGGGUUGUAAAGUACUUUCAGCGGGGAGGAGUUACCCGAAGAAGAAGCACCGGCUAACUCCGUUCCAGCAGCCGCGGUAAUAC
rnacentral:rRNA from 1 species